AGUAGUGGAUGUUGCAGGUUGAACAGUUGCUGUUUUCGCCCUGCGGGGGUGAACAGACCUGCUAGAAACAGCAGCGAGGGGUGAAUCGUGCCGUUUGCUCCUUCCCAGUGCACCACUGAUGUGCCUGCUGUAAUACCGAGAGGGUGCAAAUCAGCCCCGAUUUGUCAGACUUCUCCUCGGGGGAGGGGGUGGCAGCGGGUGUCUGUUUCUCACAUGCGCUCUGGGCAUCGGCAAAGGGACAUUAUCUAGGAGUGGGAAGUCUUUUAGCUGGGGUCAAGAGACAGGAAAUGGAAGUGAACCUUGCCGGAGGGAAGGAAUUUUUUUAUCCCCAGUCUGUUCCGAUUUUGGCUGGCAACCCGGUGUAGGUAGUCCUUUCUUUCCUGUAGGUGUAGGUAGUCCUUUCUUUCCUGUAGGUGUAGGUAGUCCUUUCUUUCCAGUAGGUGUAGGUAGUCCUUUCUUUCCUGUAGGUGUAGGUAGUCCUUUCUUUCCUGUAGGUGUAGGUAGUCCUUUCUUUCCUGUAGGUGUAGGUAGUCCUUUCUUUCCUGUAGGUGUAGGUAGUCCUUUCUUUCCAGUAGGUGUAGGUAGUCCUUUCUUUCCUGUAGGUGUAGGUAGUCCUUUCUUUCCUGUAGGUGUAGGUAGUCCU